UUGGGGGGGGAAUGGGAAGGAUCAUUACUGAUUUGCUUAAUUGCACCACAUGUGUUUUUUAUUGAACAAAUUUCUUUGGUGGCGGGAGCAAUCCUACCGCCAGAGGUUAUAACUAAACCAAACUUUUUAUUUACAGUCAAACUUGAUUUAUUAUUACAAUAGUCAAAACUUUCAACAACGGAUCUCUUGGUUCUCGCAUCGAUGAAGAACGCAGCGAAAUGCGAUACGUAAUAUGAAUUGCAGAUAUUCGUGAAUCAUCGAAUCUUUGAACGCACAUUGCGCCCUUUGGUAUUCCAAAGGGCAUGCCUGUUUGAGCGUCAUUUCUCCCUCAAACCCCCGGGUUUGGUGUUGAGCAAUACGCUAGGUUUGUUUGAAAGAAUUUAACGUGGAAACUUAUUUUAAGCGACUUAGGUUUAUCCAAAAACGCUUAUUUUGCUAGUGGCCACCACAAUUUAUUUCAUAACUUGACCUCAAAUCAGGUAGGACUACCCGCUGAACUUAAGCAUAUCAGACGGGAGAG
rnacentral:rRNA from 1 species